rnacentral:lncRNA from 1 species
UAGGGCCGACCAUAGGUAAGCGUGGUUACCGAAAUUAGGUUAGAGAAGUGAAAAGCGAAUAAAGAAGCAUGUAAUUGACAAAUUGGAGUCAAAAUCAUCGACCCUGGAAUAAACUUGUGUCCUUGGGUCUUCCUCGUCCCGGUCAAUUGAUCGAUAUUUUGUGUUCCAAGUAUCAAAUAUCAGUUCUGAUAUAUUCCAAGUCGUCAAUCGUAGAAGGCGGUGUAAUGGUGAAAAGUGAGCAUCAAUUUAUUUAGAGAAGGAUUCCCAAUGGGACUGACCAUCUACCUUGAACCAGACCACUCACACUUGGCAGUUUCCUUAAAGUGAUUAGUCGUUUGCAUUAACAGAUCUAGAGAGAUUUUUUGUUGGACGGGUGUUAAACAUAUGUUCCCUAAUCCUUUCAUUUUUCCAAAUUGAUAUUUGUCUUAAGUUAUAAAUGUUCUCUUCUUGCACUGUACAUGAUUAUUGUAUGAUGAAUAAUGCUAAACUAUGGUAAAAAUGCAUUAAUCAUAAUGAUUUGACUUAAAUUGUUUUUAUAUCUGCAUUAUUUAUAUCUAAGUUUAUAUUUACGGUUUGUUAAAAUUCGUCAUGUUCCCUGCUACGGAAAAGCGGGUCCUCUUGGCUCUGGAAAUUCAGAGAAUAGCAACCAUUGGGAUAUUUGUCUGACUGAUUGUCAAACACUUACUACUGAUUUUCAUUGCUGGUUAUUUGUUACAGUCAAGUAAAUAUGAUUCUUAACAACAUCUUUGUGUCAUUUUGAGUAUAUAAAUGGGACCUGCACGAUCAAAAUGUUAGAUUGCCAAAAUGUGUAAAGCUGCUUAUUGAAACCUAGCCUUCCUUAAGAUCUGCUUAAUUUCUUAUUUGGUCUCUAAUGAAUUUGCAACACUUAAAGUUGCAUAUACAUAGAAAAUUUAACUUUUGUACGCCUGACUUCCAUUUCCAGUUACAUUAUUAACUGGAAUUACGAAUUGCUUCUACAAACAUGGGAAGAUCCAUCAUUUGCAAACCCUGAGGUUGAUGGGCAUUUGGAGAUAAUCAUCCAAGCAAAUGACUGCAUCACAUCUUUUGAUGGAUCCGCUUUUCUUUUAUACAUUAAAAAUAAUUGAUGUUGUUGAAAUUGGUGAAAGCCAUGGGAAUGUGGGUUAA